UGGGGAAUAUUGCACAAUGGGCGCAAGCCUGAUGCAGCAACGCCGCGUGAGGGACGACGGCCUUCGGGUUGUAAACCUCUUUUAGUAGGGAAGAAGCGAAAGUGACGGUACCUGCAGAAAAACGCACCGGCUAACUACGUGCCAGCAGCCGCGGUAAUACGUAGGGUGCGAGCGUUGUCCGGAAUUAUUGGGCGUAAAGAGCUCGUAGGCGGUCUGUCGCGUCUGCUGUGAAAACCCCGAGGCUCAACCUCGGGCCUGCAGUGGGUACGGGCAGACUAGAGUGCGGUAGGGGAGAAUGGAAUUCCUGGUGUAGCGGUGAAUGCGCAGAUAUCAGGAGGAACACCGAUGGCGAAGGCAGUUCUCUGGGCCGUAACUGACGUUGAGGAGCGAAAGCGUGGGGAGCGAACAGGAUUAGAUACCCUGGUAGUCCACGCCGUAAACGUUGGGCGCUAGAUGUGGGGCACCAUUCCACGGUUUCCGUGUCGCAGCUAACGCAUUAAGCG
rnacentral:rRNA from 1 species